rnacentral:rRNA from 1 species
GACGGAAGGUGCAAGCGUUGCUCGGAAUCACUGGGCGUAAAGGGUGCGUAGGCGGCGCGGUAAGUCGGGUGUGAAAUCUUGGAGCUUAACUCCGAAACUGCAUUCGAUACUGCCGUGCUUGAGGACUGGAGAGGAGACUGGAAUUUACGGUGUAGCGGUGAAAUGCGUAGAUAUCGUAAGGAAGACCAGUGGCGAAGGCGGGUCUCUGGACAGUUCCUGACGCUGAGGCACGAAGGCCAGGGGAGCAAACGGG